GCGAAAUACGAUACGGGACUCAUCCGAGGCCCCGUAAUCGGAAUGAGUACACUCUAAAUCCUUUAACGAGGAUCAAUUGGAGGGCAAGUCUGGUGCCAGCAGCCGCGGUAAUUCCAGCUCCAAUAGCGUAUAUUAAAGUUGUUGCGGUUAAAAAGCUCGUAGUCGAAUUUGUGUCCCGCGCCGCCGGUUCAUCGCUCGCGGUGUUAACUGGCGUGUCCGCGGGACGUCCUGCCGGUGGGCUCAGCCCCUACGGGGGCGGCCCAAUCUCAAUCCCACCGCGGUGCUCUUCACUGAGUGUCGAGGUGGGCCGGCACGUUUACUUUGAACAAAUUAGAGUGCUUAAAGCAGGCUAAAACCUCGCCUGAAUACUGUGUGCAUGGAAUAAUGGAAUAGGACCUCGGUUCUAUUUUGUUGGUUUUCGGAACCCCGAGGUAAUGAUUAAUAGGAACGGAUGGGGGCAUUCGUAUUGCGACGUUAGAGGUGAAAUUCUUGGAUCGUCGCAAGACGGACAGAAGCGAAAGCAUUUGCCAAAAACGCUUUCAUUGAUCAAGAACGAAAGUUAGAGGUUCGAAGGCGAUCAGAUACCGCCCUAGUUCUAACCAUAAACGAUGCCAGCUAGCGAUCCGCCGACGUUCCUCCGAUGACUCGGCGGGCAGCUUCCGGGAAACCAAAGCUUUUGGGUUCCGGGGGAAGUAUGGUUGCAAAGCUGAAACUUAAAGGAAUUGACGGAAGGGCACCACCAGGAGUGGAGCCUGCGGCUUAA
rnacentral:rRNA from 1 species